ACGGGAGGCAGCAGUGAGGAAUAUUGGUCAAUGGGCGGGAGCCUGAACCAGCCAAGUAGCGUGAGGGAAGACUGCCCUAUGGGUUGUAAACCUCUUUUGUUUGGGAAUAAAGGAGACUACGUGUAGUCUUUUGCAUGUACCUUACGAAUAAGCAUCGGCUAAUUCCGUGCCAGCAGCCGCGGUAAUACGGAAGAUGCGAGCGUUAUCCGGAUUUAUUGGGUUUAAAGGGUGCGCAGGCGGCUUUUUAAGUCAGUGGUUAAAUCGUGACGCUCAACGUCAUCACGCCAUUGAUACUGGAGAGCUUGAUUGCGGUCGAGGUUUGCGGAAUUCGUUGUGUAGCGGUGAAAUGCAUAGAUAUGACGAAGAACACCGAUUGCGUAGGCAGCAGACCAGGCCGUAAAUGACGCUCAUGCACGAAAGUGCGGGGAUCGAACAGGAUUAGAUACCUGGUA
rnacentral:rRNA from 1 species